GACGAACGCUGGCGGCGUGCUUAACACAUGCAAGUCGAGCGAUGAAGCGCCUUCGGGUGUGAAUUAGCGGCGAACGGGUGAGGAACACGUGAGAAAUCUGCCUUCAACUCUGGGAUAACUCCGUGAGAACGGGGCUAAUACCGGAUAUGAAACCUGCGGGCAUCCGCGGGUUUGGAAAGUUUUCCGGUUGAAGAUGAUCUCGCGGCCUAUCAGCUUGUUGGGGAGGUAAUGGCUCACCAAGGCGACGACGGGUAGCCGGCCUGAGAGGGCGACCGGCCACACUGGGACUGAGACACGGCCCAGACUCCUACGGGAGGCAGCAGUGGGGAAUAUUGGGCAAUGGAGGAAACUCUGGCCCAGCGACGCCGCGUGCGGGAUGAAGGCCUUCGGGUUGUAAACCGCUUUCAGCAGGGAAGAAGCGAAAGUGACGGUACCUGCAGAAGAAGCACCGGCUAACUAUGUGCCAGCAGCCGCCGUAA
rnacentral:rRNA from 1 species